UGCUAGGCAACAUAAAGGAAUGAGGUCCUACCUCAGCUCAUCUUUCAAAAAAAAAAAAAUGAAAAUAUGUAUUCUUUUAUCUUAAUGCAAACUUUAAAUCUAGGGGUCCGGUGCACUUUAUUGGCUUCCAGUUUGUAAUCCCUUACAUCCUCCCACGUGACUCCAAAGUUGAGUUAGAUAAGAAUAUGAAACCUGGAAGAGGACCCAAAGGAAGGUAGGUGUCUGAGAGCUCUUUCACAUUUCAGAGCUCUCAUUAAAAAGUAAAGGCAUUUUUUCAGGUGACUUGGAACAGGAAUUUCUGCUGCUUAAAAUUCCUCUUCCUAAACUUUCUGUUGCAAGUAACAAUAGAUCACCUUCACUAAGCACUCAUUAUUGCUAAACACAGCUCAAAGUGCUUUACCUAUGUUAACUCAUUUUGCAAACGAAGAAACUGAAGCUCAAAGAAAUUAAAAGUAUCUUGUCCAAGGACCGCCCCGCCUCUCCAGCCAACUGUGGCACAGCACCCAUCCAAACCCAGGCAGUGUCCUAGUUCCAUAGGCUGAUGAGAACAAAACUUCCAGCACUUUCACUCCCUGUGAAUGACCUCAGAGCUCACUGCAGAUAGUGAGGGAAGAGGUGACCAAGUUCAAAUAUAGUCAUAGCUCAGGUUUGGAUGAAUCUUUCACUCACCUAGUUAGGCUUGUCGGCCAUACAGGAAAGAUUAUCCCUCUGACUAGGUGUCCACUAUCCACAGGGCUGAAUGGGGAAAGCAGCAAGGGUAGAGCUAUUAAAUAACUUGGUCAAAUCCGCACAGCUGAUCAUUGGCAGGAAUAGUCAGCAUUAUCCAUUCUCCCAGCCAACAAACAUCCUUUGAGCCCGGUUAUACCUAGCAACAUCUUUGCAGUCAAGCCCCAGAUUUAUAAUACAGGUUUCAAAUAUAACUGUUAAUUUGACCAGAUUAAAUUUUAAAUACAUGUUGUAGGGGGACAGUAGUUUCUGUGUGUGUGUGUGUGUGUGUAUUUGUGUUUUUGUUUGAAUAGUUUGAAUAGAACCCAGGACUUCACAAAUGCUAGACAAGCACUUUGCCACUUAGCUUUAUCCCCAGGCCCUCACCUUUAGUCUUAUAUGCUCAGGUGUUCAUUUCUUCCACAGCAGAGAGCUGGAAGAAGAAUGGAGACUGCUGGGAGAAAGUGAUUUCUGGUUGCAAAAGAUAAGAAGGGGGAUUCACUUAGGAACUCAAGACCACAAGAGAAAGUAGACACAUGAUCUCUGCUCAGGUUUUGCCAAAAGAAACUAUGCUCUUUUUAUUCUCCUAUGUCCUUUUAAGUGAAAUAAAAGACAGUGGGUCAACCCCACUUUUCAUCAUACACAAAUGUAAAUUUAAAGGGUGUUAAAGAUAUAAUUGUGAAAAGUUUGCUUGGAUUUUUUUCAAAGAAUAAAAGAACAUUUUUAUUACCUUAGCCUAUGAAUAAAUAUUAUAAAUUAGAAAUUAUAAGAAGAUGUAAAGGAACAUGAUAAAUUUGACCACAAUGGAAUUUAAAUGUUUAGUUUAUUGGGAGAUAAUAUUUAAAACUUGAAAAGGCAAGCCAUAGACUAGAAGAUAUUUGCAAAUGUCUAGUUUCUCAGCUACCUAAGAACUUUUAUGAUAAAUG
rnacentral:lncRNA from 1 species